UUAUGAAUGUGACCGCCAGGAUACACAAUGGAUCUACAACAAUAAGUGUGAACAUGUGUGGUCAGAAGACACCCAACAUGUCCCAGAUUGACCUUGUUUAUAUUUACAAUUCAGAUACUCACAAGGAGCUUUUAGGCAUUCUUAAAGGUAGUGAUACGGAUAAAGGUAGCUACAGCAUCAGUGGAUGCAUAAUGGAUAUCAGGUUGUCACAUUUCAGGCCUAAUGACGUGGGAAACUACAUGUGUAAAUUAAUCGAUAUAAAUGGCAGCACCUUAGACAGUGGUGAGUUGUCUUAGUGGAACUUUGCUGAUUUGGUUCAUUUCAGCAAAUUCUUCAGUUAAAAGGGAAACAUGCAAAUGCUCCUGUAACACUAACAAUGAUUUCUGCCAACAGAAAGUUUUGUCUUGGAUGGGCUCCCCACCAAUGGUGGAAAGAAGAGUGAUGUGCCCCCCAUCACACCAACACCUGGACCAGCAGCUACUGAAGGUCCAAAACAGACAGUUGAUUCAUGGGUUUGGAUUUUAAAUGGACUUUUUGGACUGGCUGCCCUAGCAGUGGGAACAUUUCUCAUUUGGAAGUUCAACAUACCAAGUCUUCUAACAGAAUUAUGUCGUGGGAACCAACAAAUGUGUCCCCAUCACCAAGUGAAAAUGGAAGAAGUUUGCAUUUGCAGAGGUGGGGGUGACGUCCCAGCGCUCAAAAUGUGAUCAGACCCUGCUUGAAGAAGAAAAAGUGACUGGGCCCACGUGUUUAUUUUGAAUAACUGAAGUGAUGGCUUUCAAGCAGUGGGCAUGUCAGUAAACAUCCUAUUGUCACAGUGAGUCCUCUUUUAGCUUGUACUUUUGGUUUUAUGGCACAUUGACUGUAUGGUCCACUGUCAAUGAUCUCAUCUACAUCGUGUCCAGCAGUAUUAGGCCAGUUGUUCUUUCAUCAUUUCAAUCUGUUGUCUUCAGACUGUUUCCUAUUUGAGAUAGAGUCAGCUCGAAGAGUGGGCUCCUUCAUUCAAGUGAAGGAUGGGAGACAGCUCCUAUCUAAGAGCUGAUUUUUGUCAUUUCUUGACAUAUUCGACUUUUUGACCAUCAAUAUGACAGAAUAUUUCAAUGUAUUAGAUGAUGAAUUCAGCAUAAUGCAAAUAAAGCUAUGACUAGCAUAAGUGGUACUAAAUGAAGAGCCGGCUCUCAGAAAGGAUUUGGAGCAGUAAUUCUCAUCACUAUUGCUAGGAACAACUUAAUUUAGCACUUUACUAAAGUAUAUAUUUUUCUAUGGUAUUUUUUAUUUGCCACUUUAAAAUGCAUUGAAGGUAAGUGUUUAAAAUGAAAGUUUACAAGCUCAGUUUCAUAAGUGAAGGAUGUUUACUGAGUAAACCCAAACCUCAUUUUUCUUUGUUAACAUCAGUAUUUUUUAUCUGUUUUGUCAGAUAGAAUGUAAAUUGUGGUGCUAUGUUGUGGAGGAAUUAAAACAAGAAAAGUAGUCAUUGUGAAAUUUUAAUUGCACCUCCGUUCUGUGUCUGGGCUGAGCGCCUCCACAUACACACAAGCAAAAUACACACUCACACACACACACACACACACACACACACACACACACACACACACACACACACACACACACACACACACACACACACACACACACACACACACACACACUCUGAUACAGUAAAUGUGCCAUAUACCCAUAAUUAUGAUGCAAAAGAGGAUAAAACGUUCAGAAGAGUUGCAGACUUCUUCUAAGUCUCUGUGUCAA